GCCUCCCUUCUGAAGCUGUGCUCCGACUAUGAUAGGAACCAUCACAGACAGAGCAGGACCGUCCUAUAAGCCAGUGCUUGUCAAGCAGACUGAAUGAGAGCAUGACUGUGGACAUUUGGCGAAGCCAAAACUCCACGGCAGGUCCUUUGCCGUCAGAAUUUCUGGCAGCCCCGGGCAGAGGGCAAGCAUCCACGGACAGACACCAGUUCUCCUCUGCUGGGGAAGGCCAGGCCAGAACCAAGGCCAAGAAGCCAGCAGACCAAAUCCCAUCUCCAGAAAAGUCCAGAGCAGGUGCAUCUUGUUCCCUCCCGGGUGUUCCUGCCAUCAUGCCCCUGUAUGCCUCGUGCUGGCAAACCUCCAUCUCAGAGCCCGCUUCCCAGGACCCGACCUGCGGCAGCUUGGGAAGAAAAAGAAGACUUGUGGGGUCCAGCUGCUCAGAGCACCGAGAAAUCAUCUCCAGCCCCACUGUCUCACAGGUGCAAACAGCCUGCCCAAGGUCGCAGAGCCAAGAGGUGGCAAAGCUGGCCCCGGGGUCCUUUGAUGCCAUUACCCUCCACCUCCAUGGGACCAUAUCAAUACUGCUGACAUGUUUGAACACCUGCUUUGUAUAGAAGCAUUUCCCCUAAUCGUCACAAUAACUCUGUGAGGGGGUGUAAUUAGCUUCACAUUUUACAGAUGUCAUAAAUGAGUUGCCCAAGAUUGCAAGCUUGGAAGUAAUCAAGGCCAAUUCCAUCACAGGUCUGGAGUGACUGUGUGACUCUGGAGCCCGUCUUCUUUGCACUAGCCACAUCGCCUCAUUUGGGGAAAAUGGGGUCUUUGGAUUGUUCAUGCCACAUACGAGACCCGCGCGGGUCCUGUCCCCUGUGACCUCUGGGAAAGGGUCCCCUGGGGAGGCCCUUGUUGAAGAGGCGUGUGCUCCCAGGCCUCAGCGGGCCCUGGCCCCAGUGUGGCCCAUGGGUAGAGUUGCUCCUUUUGAAGAUCAAGUUCCCACUCGUUCCUCAGAGCAGCCCUUUGGGCUGGCAUUCCAUCCCAGGGAUGCCAGAGGUCGAAGAGUCAGGAUUUAAACCAGAUGCCCUGCUGCUCACCAGGGAUGUCCUCAAAGGUGACAGAAGUGUGUCACACUCAUGCUCUAUACACUAGACUGAGUCAGAAUUGUCAUGACUCAAGAUGUGGGUCAUUGAGGAGGCAAGAGGAGCUUCCCAGGAUGAUGUACAACAGGGGAGAGAUGGAUAUAAAAGCGUCAUGGUACACCAGCCAGGAGAGAGAAGGGAAGCAGGAAAGGGAAAUGGGCAGAAAACCAGGGGGGGCCAGUCUCCGAGUCCCUGUGGGCCCCCUGCCCUGCUCACACCUCUGCACACACACCCCUGGACCCUGUGCACCCACCCCUGCAAGUUCAGCCUCCUUCAGGCCCUGAGCCCACAGGGGCACCCUCAGGGCCCCGGUGACAUGAAGUUUACUCAGGCCUAGUGGAUGGGGCUUAAGAGGCUGUGGAUCUGAGCAGUGACCUCUCGCUGUUCCCCCAAUACACCUGCAUGUCUGCCUCUAUUUCCUUGCCUAGCCCUCUUAUUUCCCAAGGGAAUUAUUGCUGACCAUGAGUCCAACCACUGGCUUUGGUCCUCCUCAAAGGGAUAGAGUUCCCAGAACUCAGUCAUUGUUGACGAUGGCAGAGGGCUGGGGUCAGUAGCCCAACCAUGGAGCAUGGUCAAAGGGUGACACUACAUGGCUUUGGAAGCUCAGACAAGAUUUAGCUGGGGAUGGACCUGAGAAGAAACAGUCCAUAGGCAGACAUGGUAUCCAAUAUCCAGCAUCGGCCAGAGGGGGGUGGUUAGGCCACCUGCCCAGCUAGUGACCAGGGGCUUGGCUGAUUCGAAGCUUCAAGGAAACCCCUGGAGCCCAGGGCUGAGGCCGAGGCCAAGGCCAGAAAAGGCCUCAAGGGCUGGGCUCUGACCCCUAGGCUGAAUGCCUGAGCUGCAUCUGGGUCAGCAACGAUAGCCCUGGAGCUGGGGCCAGCCGGGGUAUUCAUACCUUCAGUAAUGUUUGCCUGAGAAGAGCCAAGAGAAAUCAGUCUCUGAAGGCGACCCAGGGUGGGCGGUGGGGUACCCCAGGAAAGAUGUGUACCCCAGGAAUACGGGCGAGAGAAGCUGUAAGGUGCUCGGUCUUGGAGCAUCCCUGCUGGAGAGCAGGGCCGGCCCAGGUAGCACCGCGAGGUGCAUCAUCGGACAAAGAGUCCUGAGACCUGUGUUCAAGAACCAGCUCCACCCCUAAGUUGCUGAGAGACCUUGGGCAAGUGGCUUCACCUCUGUCUCAGGUGGUCCCUGCAGGAAGUGGACGGACCACUCAGAAGGAGUGAGGAAGAUUAACAAUGGGACCGUCAGUGAGAACUUAAUGAGGGGACUAUCUUCACAGUUGGGGUGGGGCUGAGGGAAGCAAUGAAGCGCUGGAGACCAGCAGCACUGGGCAACGGGUCCCACGCCAGGGGCAGGAGCGGAGGGCACUCACCGGCCCCAGCAAGAUCUAUAGGCACAAGAAAAGGCCUCUGGACGCAUGGGAGCUGUGGCUUUCAGUGGAAGAGUCUAUCCCCAAGGCCUCCUGAGGCCCGGCAGGGAUGGAGCAGGAGUGAACACCCCUACCUUCUCCCCCCGCCCUCAAGUCUCCUGUUGGUGCCUCCCAGUGGAAAGCCAGAGGCCAAGGGAGCCCAGCUGUUGCAGUGUCCUGGGGCACAGAGAAGGGUGGAGAAAGUCUGCAAGCAGGCCUGGAGGGGCAGAGAACAUCCAGCACACCCUUUCUGAAAACAUUUCCUCAUCCAAAAAAGGAGAACACAACCUCUGUCCUGCUAACCUCCAAGGAGGCCGUGAGGCUCGGCCAGGAGGUCCAAGCUGUUGGGAAGGGGGCUGGGGGACUUCCAAGGUCCCUCUCAGUUCUCAGAGCCUGGGAUUCUCAGCAAAUAAAAUCUAGACAGCAGGACUGAGCA
rnacentral:lncRNA from 1 species